AAUCAACGCUGGCGGCGUGCCUCAGACAUGCAAGUCGAACGCGAAAGUCCCCUUCGGGGGACAAGUAGAGUGGCGCACGGGUGAGUAACACGUAGGUAAUCUACCUUCGGGUGGGGAAUAACGCAGGGAAACUUGCGCUAAUACCGCAUAAUGCAGCGGCACCACAUGGUGACAGUUGUUAAAGCGGGGGAUUUUCGGACCUCGCGCCUGAAGAGGAGCCUGCGGCAGAUUAGCUAGUUGGUAAGGUAACGGCUUACCAAGGCGACGAUCUGUAGCCGGCCUGAGAGGGCGGUCGGCCACACUGACACUGACAUACGGGUCAGACUCCUACGGGAGGCAGCAGUCGGGAAUUUUGGGCAAUGGGCGAAAGCCUGACCCAGCGACGCCGCGUGAAGGAUGAAAUCCCUCGGGAUGUAAACUUCGCAAGAAUAGGAAGAAUGAACGAGCGCUAACACCGUUCGUGAUGACGGUACUAUUUGUAAGCUCCGGCUAACUCCGUGCCAGCAC
rnacentral:rRNA from 1 species